rnacentral:rRNA from 1 species
GAGUUUGAACCUGGCUCAGGAUGAACGCUGGCGGCGUGCUUAACACAUGCAAGUCGAACGGGGAUAAGAGGAAACCUAGUGAAUCUUAUCCCAGUGGCGGACGGGUGAGUAACGCGUGGGCAACCUGCCGCAUACCGGGGGAUAACACUUAGAAAUAGGUGCUAAUACCGCAUAAGCGCACAGAGCCGCAUGGCUCGGUGUGAAAAACUCCGGUGGUAUGCGAUGGGCCCGCGUCUGAUUAGCUUGUUGGCGGGGCAGCGGCCCACCAAGGCGACGAUCAGUAGCCGGCCUGAGAGGGUGGACGGCCACAUUGGGACUGAGACACGGCCCAGACUCCUACGGGAGGCAGCAGUGGGGAAUAUUGCACAAUGGGGGGAACCCUGAUGCAGCGACGCCGCGUGAGUGAAGAAGUAUUUCGGUAUGUAAAGCUCUAUCAGCAGGGAAGAAAAUGACGGUACCUGACUAAGAAGCCCCGGCUAACUACGUGCCAGCAGCCGCGGUAAUACGUAGGGGGCAAGCGUUAUCCGGAUUUACUGGGUGUAAAGGGAGCGCAGACGGCUGUGCAAGUCUGGAGUGAAAGGCGGGGGCCCAACCCCCGGACUGCUCUGGAAACUGUAAAGCUGGAGUGCAGGAGAGGUAAGCGGAAUUCCUAGUGUAGCGGUGAAAUGCGUAGAUAUUAGGAGGAACACCAGUGGCGAGGGCGGCUUACUGGACUGCAACUGACGUUGAGGC